CUUUUCCUCCUAGUUCCAUUUGAAGAGGGAUCAUGCCUGACUUCUUUGAUAUUGCAAUUCCAGUGUCUCCACCAGUGAAGCUGAAUGAAUUUUAGGGCACGAAAAUGUGACUAAUAGUAAAACUGAUAGAUCAUAAGAGGUUACCUUAUACAGUUAACUCCAGGAUGCAUUGUGAGAAAAUCCCCAAUCUCAGAACCUUUCCCAGUGACACAACUAAUAAGGCCUUUAG